AAUAAUGCGUGUCCUUUACUUCAGUGCUACAAUAUUUGUUGUGCAGUGAUUUACUGAAGAAAAAAUUUCUAGAUUAUUCUAAUUUUGAAAUCACUGAUUGCAGUUAGAUGCAAAAAGAGAACGAACAGGUUCAAGAUAUUUAGACCGUUUGCGGGGUCGGAGUGACACAAAACCGACAAUAUGUUAACUAAAAUAAGAUGUUGGUGGUCUAAAAGAAGAAGCUAGUGUUAGUACUGAUUUGGAACAAAAUAAAAACACAAGUUUAACAUUACCGGAUGUAUUUUUAAAGCUUGAACGAAUUAAGGAAAAUGAUUCGAUUACUAACAACACGAAGAAAAUUGACCGAAAACGGAAGAAAAAACACGGAAAGAAAAAAACGUCGCAACAACGAAGAAAGAAGAAACAAAACAAUAUUCUCGAAAUUACAACAGCCAAAACCAUCCAAACAAACCACUCUGCAAUCAUUGCCAACAUUACCAAAAAUCCAGACAAAUUUUUGAACGAAAUCUUAAAACUUCGAAAAAACUCGACGAAAAAACGUAACAGAUGCACAAGAAACAACGGGGGUUGUUCGCAAAUAUGCCGACCUCGAGGCAAAUUAAAAUGUGGUUGUUUGAAGGGCUACACUUUGGCCAAAAAUCGCAAAAAAUGCGUCGAUAUCAACGAAUGCAAAGUUAGAAACGGGGGUUGCGCCCAAAUCUGCAGAAACACUCGUGGGGCGUUUUACUGCGAUUGUCCUGCAGGACUCCGCAUUGCAGAAAAUUCGAAGUCCUGCGAGGACAUCAACGAAUGCCACCUGCGAAACGGACACGGACCAUGUCAGGGCUCUUGCAGGAAUUUUUACGGGUCUUAUUCCUGUACUUGUCCCAAUGGGACUCGUCUAGGCCCCGAUAAGCAUUCUUGCAAGGAUAUCAACGAAUGUAAAGUUUACAAUCCCGGUUGUUCCCAUUUUUGUAUAAAUACGAGAGUUGGGGCGUUUUGUAGCUGCCCUCAAGGGAUGGAACUGAUGUCUGACUACAAGACUUGUCAAGACAUUGACGAGUGUGAGAAUCAUUUGAAAACGAAAUGUAAGCAAGGGUGUGUUAACACAGUUGGUUCGUACUACUGUGAAGAUAAUUUGCAAAAUGAUUUGGGCAACAAAAGUAAAAUCGUGAGUUGUCCACCUUUGGAACCGCCAAAGUUUGGGUUUAUCACAUGUUUGCGGAACAACUCGUUUGAGAAUUUUGGGAAAAGUGGGCGCAAAAUCGUCGCGAAUUAUCCAGGGACAAGGUGCAGACUUGAAUGUCCUGAAGGAUUUAAACUGGUGGGAAGUGGGCGAUUUUUGUGCUCACUUUCCGGGAAAUGGCACAAAAAACGAGGAUUUUGCACAAGGGCACCUUACCCUAAACUUGACUGCCCUCCUGACCAAACUUUUACUUUGGAAAAAAAUCAAAAAACAGCUUUGGUACAUUUUCCUUCUCCUCAAACUAACGUUAGGUGGAAAAUCGUUAAAUCGUACCCCGAGUGGGCGAAAACCCUCAGAGGAGAAUUAACUGAAGGGCGCUACAAUAUUCAAUUUUCCGUAACGGACCCCGAGUCAAAACUAAGCUCAACUUGUUCAUUUUUUAUCACAAUAAAAACACAAUGAUUUUGUAA